UACGUAGGGUGCAAGCGUUAAUCGGAAUUACUAGGCGUAAAGCGUGCGCAGGCGGUUGUGUAAGUUUGUCGUGAAAUCCCCGGGCUCAACCUGGGAAUUGCGAUGAAGACUGCACGGCUAGAGUGUGUCAGAGGGGGGUAGAAUUCCACGUGUAGCAGUGAAAUGCGUAGAUAUGUGGAGGAACACCGAUGGCGAAGGCAGCCCCCUGGGAUAACACUGACGCUCAUGCACGAAAGCGUGGGGAGCAAACAGG
rnacentral:rRNA from 1 species